AUGCCUACGGGGGGCAGCAGUGGGGAAUAUUGCACAAUGGGCGAAAGCCUGAUGCAGCAACGCCGCGUGAGUGAAGAAGUAUUUCGGUAUGUAAAGCUCUAUCAGCAGGGAAGAAAAUGACGGUACCUGACUAAGAAGCCCCGGCUAACUACGUGCCAGCAGCCGCGGUAAUACGUAGGGGGCAAGCGUUAUCCGGAUUUACUGGGUGUAAAGGGUGCGUAGACGGAAAGGCAAGUCAGAAGUG
rnacentral:rRNA from 1 species